rnacentral:rRNA from 1 species
UACAGAGGAUGCAAGCGUUAUCCGGAAUGAUUGGGCGUAAAGCGUCUGUAGGUGGCUUUUUAAGUCCGCCGUCAAAUCCCAGGGCUCAACUCUGGACAGGCGGUGGAAACUACCAAGCUGGAGUACGGUAGGGGCAGAGGGAAUUCCCGGUGUAGCGGUGAAAUGCGCAGAGAUCGGGAGGAACACCAAUGGCGAAAGCAGGUACCUGGACCAUUACUGACACUCAGCUGCGAAAGCUAGGGGAGCAAACAGG